GGCUUCGUCUCCGUAGGUGAACCUGCGGAGGGAUCAUUACAAGUGACCCCGGUCUAACCACCGGGAUGUUCAUAACCCUUUGUUGUCCGACUCUGUUGCCUCCGGGGCGACCCUGCCUUCGGGCGGGGGCUCCGGGUGGACACUUCAAACUCUUGCGUAACUUUGCAGUCUGAGUAAACUUAAUUAAUAAAUUAAAACUUUUAACAACGGAUCUCUUGGUUCUGGCAUCGAUGAAGAACGCAGCGAAAUGCGAUAAGUAAUGUGAAUUGCAGAAUUCAGUGAAUCAUCGAAUCUUUGAACGCACAUUGCGCCCCCUGGUAUUCCGGGGGGCAUGCCUGUUCGAGCGUCAUUUCACCACUCAAGCCUCGCUUGGUAUUGGGCAACGCGGUCCGCCGCGUGCCUCAAAUCGACCGGCUGGGUCUUCUGUCCCCUAAGCGUUGUGGAAACUAUUCGCUAAAGGGUGCUCGGGAGGCUACGCCGUAAAACAAACCCAUUUCUAAGGUUGACCUCGGAUCAGGUAGGGAUACCCGCUGAACUUAAGCAUAUCAAUAAGCGGAGGAA
rnacentral:rRNA from 1 species